CCUACGGGAGGCAGCAGUGAGGAAUAUUGGUCAAUGGACGCAAGUCUGAACCAGCCAUGCCGCGUGCAGGAAGACGGUUCUAUGUGUUGUAAACCGCUUUUGUACGAGGGUAAACGCAGAUACGCGUACCCGUCUGAAAGUACCUUACGAAUAAGCAUCGGCUAACUCCGUGCCAGCAGCCGCGGUAAUACGGAGGAUUCAAGCGUUAUCCGGAUUUAUUGGGUUUAAAGGGUGCGUAGGCGGUCGGUUAAGUUAGCGGUGAAAUCCCGGGGCUCAACUUCGGACUUGCCUUUGAUACUGUUCGGCUAGAGAGUAGUUGCGGUAGGCGGAAUGUGUGGUGUAGCGGUGAAAUGCUUAGAGAUCGUACAGAACACCGAUUGCGAAGGCAGCUUACCGGGCUACUUCUGACGUUGAGGCACGAAAGCGUGGGGAGCGAACAGGAUUAGAUACCCUUGUAGUC
rnacentral:rRNA from 1 species